rfam:Pseudomonas sp. HPB0071 genomic scaffold aczIi-supercont1.1, whole genome shotgun sequence.
UCCGGUCUUCAGGGCGGGGCGAGAUUCCCCACCGGCGGUAAACCACGUGGUGGCAAGCCCGCGAGCGCUCCGAUGCGUCGGAGGUCAGCAGAUCUGGUGUGAUUCCAGGGCCGACGGUCAUAGUCCGGAUGAAAGAAGAUGCGU